rnacentral:lncRNA from 1 species
UCUACAGGAAAUUAUGUCUGGCUGCUCAGAAACCUCAGCACUCGCACUGAAACAGAAAGUUUUUCAGAUUGCUCGUGAUCUUAACAAUCUCGCUGAUAAUCUUCCAGAUGAGCUUGACUGCGUGACCAGUGCUGCGAGACUAGUGGAUGAUCUGUCUCAGACCGUUGCAUCUCUAAGAUGCGUUUUGUCGAAUGGCAGCAAACCAUUUGAUCCGUCAGUUGAAGAAACUAAGACUAAGCCACAGAACCAAGACCAGAGCCAUAGUCAGUCUGAGGAAGACGCUGGCAGGCACACAGAGAGAGAGUGUGUGAUGUCUCUGGAUAUCUCUGAGUAUGAGCUGCAGAUGCUGGAGCAGCAGGCCAGACAUGAGCAGCUGGAGGAAGAGUGUAUCUUAGCUUUCCAGACUCAGCAGGCAUCAGCCCCCAAGAACUCUGAUGACAUGGAGAGUGAUGAAGAUUUUGAUGAUGAAAUGAUGAAGUGUGCUGCUGACAUAGAAAGAUUAAAUGGUAAACAUGGUCAUGAGAAACAGGAGCUCGUCCCACGGUCUGGUGCUGAAGAUGAUGAUGAGGAUGUUGAGGAAGAUGAGGAAGAGGGGUUUGAUUCAAGCAUCCCACAACCUGUUCCUGAACAAAUUAAAUGUCUAAAAAUGUACUUUGGACAAAGAAUUUAA